UUUGUUUCUUUUUUCAGCUAUCAUAAAAGGACUAUGGAUAUUUCUGAUAUAAGCCCUAGAAGUUGCCAAGAUAAUUUCCAAAUUAGUUUCAACAUUAUACAUUCACCAGAAAUGUAUGAGAGUUCCAGCUCUUCCAUAUCCUGGCCAAAUUUGUCACUCUUGAAACCCAGCUGCCAUGCUAUGAGUAAGUCCAAUUAGCAAAAGUCCCUGAUAGAGAGGAUUUGAGGCCUGCUGACAGCCUUGACUGAGAUUUCAGCCAACACCCAAUAUCAAUUUUGCUAACCGGCCUUAACUUUCUCUAGGAAUGAUCUUACAUCCAUGGAUGUGACUGUCUGAGCAAGUGGAAGAAGCCAUGGUAUAACACAGAUUAAAUUAUCUCAGUGAUGAUGGUAAUCAUUUCCAAAAGAAGGUAGUGGUCCUCUUCCCUGAACUGUAAGAACUGUGAUUUCAUGCACUCCAAGUUGAGAACCCCUGCAGGAUCCUGAGUUGACUAAAUCCUAAUCAGUACGGCAGUCAAAGAUUCCGUAGUGCCUGGCCAUUGUAUGGAAAGAUCAGUCUUCUCAAGGUUAUUAAAAUCUCCCAUAAUAUAUUCACUGUGUACUUACAUGAAUACAAUGAUGUCAACUAAAAUACAAUUUAUUUCAAAUUUUUAAUUUUGUGUUGUCUAUUAAGUAUGCUUACAUUUUUAUGUCAACAUGGUUUCACUUUUUAUGUUAGAAAAUGCUAAGCAAUAAAUGCUACAGCUGAAUGUUGAAAGGUAUUAGUGUUGCUUGAAGCUCACCAAAUAAACACCCAGAUACUCCACGGGUAUAGCCCAGUCCUGACCUUCAGUGGAUAGGAAACUAUUCAGUGAAAUGUAAUGCACAGUACUGGAUUAUGGUCAGUGGAAUUUUUCAAAAUAAAUUAUCCAUAUCUGUAUUACUUGAUUCGGCUUGACUCCUCUUUUAACUAAAGUAUGUUUUAACUGUUUUUUUUCUUUUUUCUUUUUUUUUUUUUUGAGACAGAGACUCCCUCUGUCGCACAGGCUGGAAUGGAGUGCAGUGGCACGAUCGCGGCUCACUGCAAGCUCCGCCUCCGGGGUUCACACCAUUCUCCUGCCUCAGCCUCCCAAGUAGCUGGGACUACAGGAGCCCGCCACUACACCCGGCUAAUUUUUUGUAUUUUUAGUGGAGACGGGGUUUCACCGGGUUAGCCAGGAUGGUCUCGAUCUCCCGACCUCGUCAUCUGCCCGCCUCAGCCUCCCAAAGUGCUGGGAUUACAGGCGUGAGCCACCACGCCCGGCCCAACUAUUUUUUAUUAAUUACUGGCAAACUCCUAUUUUCCAGCCACUUCUGUUAUUCUUAUAAAACACUUUUACACUAUUUACAAAUGUGCAUUAAUACAAAAUUAUUGGUUUAUGCGAUUUCUCAAAAAAAUUUCAUCAUGUACCUCAAAGCUUAAGGUAGUUGGAGGUUCAAGUUCCAAUUAGAACUUAGUGCAAAUCCCUUCUGCAGAUACAAGUAUAGUAAAAUAAUUAUUGCCUGGGAAUUUCAGAAACCUUUUAUAGCUCCUGCUAUUGUCUUCUUGCCAAAAUGAACUAUCUGCUCAUUUAUUCUAAAUUAGAAUUGUGCAGUUAACAAAGAUCAAGAAGAUUAAAAACAUGGUGUGAAGCCAGUUUAGCAUAACAUUUAGUAUUUCCUUUUGUAAGUACUGCUCUCCUGUGCUUAGUUAAGUAUUAUUUAAGAUACUAUUGGAUCUUUAUAGAAUGUUCCCAUGAUUAAAAUUUAAUUUUGACACUACAACAUGUACAAAGUUCUGUCAAGUAUUAUUAAUGAUUAAACAAUGAGGAAAUAUGUUAUUACAGUGUGUUCAAUCUUUAAUGUCCAUUAAAUCCACUUGGUAAGUGUAAGUGGAAAUGAUACUAACUACAAUUCUCAUUCUCUAGUCCUUUACACAUUAUAAAGAAAUGAGGAUCUUACAAUACCAAUCAAUAAGUGAUGAAAAGAAACUGUGCGUGGUGGCUGAAAUUUGAAUGGGCCUUUCACAGAAAUCUUAUUAUUCUCCUACUAGGGACAGUGCAGAACAGACAUUCCACUUCCCGCUUUGUAAGCAAAUGCCUAGGCGUGUAGCACUGUGAUUAUAUUUCUAUCUUCGGCCUUAGAUCAUCUUCAGCAUCAGAGAGUUCUGAAAAUCCCAUUAAGAAGUCAUUUCAAGGAAACAUAAAUGUUCUUUGAAAUAAUCUUCAAUGCUUUUCUAAUUUUUUAUAUUAAUGUCUCCUGCAACCCUCUUCCCAGAAUGGGUAAUAAAUCCUCUUAUAUUUAUGCACAGAGAGAUAUGUAUAUACAGUUUAUUUACUUCCUGUUUUAAUUGCUGUCCUAACUAAAUACAACACAUGUAAUGCAAAUGUUUGCCAAACUUUGUAUGGGUUGUACUUAACAUGUAUAACACUGGCAUUUUAGCUGAACUGAUCGUGACAAAGCAUUCCUGAAUAAAAAUUACUUUUUUAGAAAGGAAACAGUUCUGUUGCAAAAUCAAGUUUUUACUUUUUCUUAUGGUUUUGUAGCCUAACGAAAAAUGAAUACAUGAUGAAAUGUAUCCCAAUUUCCUUCCACUUUUAAUUGAUCUUCAUAGGCUUGAGGGAAUUUGUCUUUAUAUUCAUCUCCCAGGGAGAAUUUCCACCAAAUUAUUUGAGUGAGUUAUCAUCAUUCAACUUUGCCUGGC
rnacentral:lncRNA from 10 species